UACGAAGGGUGCAAACGUUGCUCGGAAUCAUUGGGCGUAAAGCGCACGUAGGCGCCUCAUAAGUCGGAUGUGAAAUCCCUCGGCUCAACCGAGGAAGUGCAUCCGAAACUGCGAGGCUCGAGUAUGGAAGAGGGUCGCAGAAUUCCCGGUGUAGAGGUGAAAUUCGUAGAUAUCGGGAGGAAUACCAGUGGCGAAGGCGGCUACCUGGACAAUUGCUGACGCUCAGGCACGAAAGCGUGGGGAGCAAAAGGG
rnacentral:rRNA from 1 species